UUAAGCGACUAAGCGUACACGGUGGAUGCCCUGGCAGUCAGAGGCGAUGAAGGGCGUGCUAAUCUGCGAUAAGCGCCGGUAAGGUGAUAUGAACCGUUAUAACCGGCGAUACCCGAAUGGGGAAACCCAGUGUGAUUCGUCACACUAUCAUUAACUGAAUCCAUAGGUUAAUGAGGCGAACCGGGGGAACUGAAACAUCUAAGUACCCCGAGGAAAAGAAAUCAACCGAGAUUCCCCCAGUAGCGGCGAGCGAACGGGGAGGAGCCCAGAGCCUGAAUCAGCAUGUGUGUUAGUGGAAGCGUCUGGAAAGGCGCGCGAUACAGGGUGACAGCCCCGUACACAAAAGCGCAUGUGCUGUGAGCUCGAUGAGUAGGGCGGGACACGUGGUAUCCUGUCUGAAUAUGGGGGGACCAUCCUCCAAGGCUAAAUACUCCUGACUGACCGAUAGUGAACCAGUACCGUGAGGGAAAGGCGAAAAGAACCCCGGCGAGGGGAGUGAAAAAGAACCUGAAACCGUGUACGUACAAGCAGUGGGAGCCCCACCACUAAGCCAGUGGUGAACUCCACAUCCGCAUCCUUUGCUGAGGAUACGGUUAACGGAGCGAAAGCGACGUUCAACCGCAAAACAAGCAGAGGGGGCUUAGUGGUGGGGUGACUGCGUACCUUUUGUAUAAUGGGUCAGCGACUUAUAUUCUGUAGCAAGGUUAACCGUAUAGGGGAGCCGGAGGGAAACCGAGUCUUAAUUGGGCGUUAAGUUGCAGGGUAUAGACCCGAAACCCGGUGAUCUAGCCAUGGGCAGGUUGAAGGUUGGGUAACACUAACUGGAGGACCGAACCGACUAAUGUUGAAAAAUUAGCGGAUGACCUGUGGCUGGGGGUGAAAGGCCAAUCAAACCGGGAGAUAGCUGGUUCUCCCCGAAAGCUAUUUAGGUAGCGCCUCGUGAAUUCAUCUCCGGGGGUAGAGCACUGUUUCGGCUAGGGGGCCAUCCCGGCUUACCAACCCGAUGCAAACUGCGAAUACCGGAGAAUGUUAUCACGGGAGACACACGGCGGGUGCUAACGUCCGUCGUGAAGAGGGAAACAACCCAGACCGCCAGCUAAGGUCCCAAAGUCAUGGUUAAGUGGGAAACGAUGUGGGAAGGCCCAGACAGCCAGGAUGUUGGCUUAGAAGCAGCCAUCAUUUAAAGAAAGCGUAAUAGCUCACUGGUCGAGUCGGCCUGCGCGGAAGAUGUAACGGGGCUAAACCAUGCACCGAAGCUGCGGCAGCGAACGUAUCACCCAAGACAACUUUACGGAGUUGACGAUUGACGGAGCGAAGCGACGUCAAAGCGUUCAUUAAAGUCGAGUUGGCUUAGGGAUACGUUCGUUGGGUAGGGGAGCGUUCUGUAAGCCUGUGAAGGUGUGUCGUGAGGCAUGCUGGAGGUAUCAGAAGUGCGAAUGCUGACAUAAGUAACGAUAAAGCGGGUGAAAAGCCCGCUCGCCGGAAGACCAAGGGUUCCUGUCCAACGUUAAUCGGGGCAGGGUGAGUCGACCCCUAAGGCGAGGCCGAAAGGCGUAGUCGAUGGGAAACGGGUUAAUAUUCCCGUACUUGGUGUUACUGCGAAGGGGGGACGGAGAAGGCUAUGUUGGCCGGGCGACGGUUGUCCCGGUUUAAGCGUGUAGGUGUGUGUUCCAGGUAAAUCCGGUUCACUUUAACACUGAGGCGUGACGACGAGGCACUACGGUGCUGAAGCAACAAAUGCCCUGCUUCCAGGAAAAGCCUCUAAGCAUCAGGUAACACGAAAUCGUACCCCAAACCGACACAGGUGGUCAGGUAGAGAAUACCAAGGCGCUUGAGAGAACUCGGGUGAAGGAACUAGGCAAAAUGGUGCCGUAACUUCGGGAGAAGGCACGCUGACACGUAGGUGAAGUGAUUUACUCAUGGAGCUGAAGUCAGUCGAAGAUACCAGCUGGCUGCAACUGUUUAUUAAAAACACAGCACUGUGCAAACACGAAAGUGGACGUAUACGGUGUGACGCCUGCCCGGUGCCGGAAGGUUAAUUGAUGGGGUCAGCGUAAGCGAAGCUCCUGAUCGAAGCCCCGGUAAACGGCGGCCGUAACUAUAACGGUCCUAAGGUAGCGAAAUUCCUUGUCGGGUAAGUUCCGACCUGCACGAAUGGCGUAAUGAUGGCCAGGCUGUCUCCACCCGAGACUCAGUGAAAUUGAACUCGCUGUGAAGAUGCAGUGUACCCGCGGCAAGACGGAAAGACCCCGUGAACCUUUACUAUAGCUUGACACUGAACAUUGAGCCUUGAUGUGUAGGAUAGGUGGGAGGCUUUGAAGUGUGGACGCCAGUCUGCAUGGAGCCGACCUUGAAAUACCACCCUUUAAUGUUUGAUGUUCUAACGUGGACCCGUAAUCCGGGUUGCGGACAGUGUCUGGUGGGUAGUUUGACUGGGGCGGUCUCCUCCUAAAGAGUAACGGAGGAGCACGAAGGUUGGCUAAUCCUGGUCGGACAUCAGGAGGUUAGUGCAAUGGCAUAAGCCAGCUUGACUGCGAGCGUGACGGCGCGAGCAGGUGCGAAAGCAGGUCAUAGUGAUCCGGUGGUUCUGAAUGGAAGGGCCAUCGCUCAACGGAUAAAAGGUACUCCGGGGAUAACAGGCUGAUACCGCCCAAGAGUUCAUAUCGACGGCGGUGUUUGGCACCUCGAUGUCGGCUCAUCACAUCCUGGGGCUGAAGUAGGUCCCAAGGGUAUGGCUGUUCGCCAUUUAAAGUGGUACGCGAGCUGGGUUUAGAACGUCGUGAGACAGUUCGGUCCCUAUCUGCCGUGGGCGCUGGAGAACUGAGGGGGGCUGCUCCUAGUACGAGAGGACCGGAGUGGACGCAUCACUGGUGUUCGGGUUGUCAUGCCAAUGGCACUGCCCGGUAGCUAAAUGCGGAAGAGAUAAGUGCUGAAAGCAUCUAAGCACGAAACUUGCCCCGAGAUGAGUUCUCCCUGAGACUUAGAGUCUCCUGAAGGAACGUUGAAGACGACGACGUUGAUAGGCCGGGUGUGUAAGCGCAGCGAUGCGUUGAGCUAACCGGUACUAAUGAACCGUGAGGCUUAACCUU
rnacentral:rRNA from 1 species